UUUUGAUGUUUUACAGUAUACUCUACAUCUUAUCUUGGGAGCACCCUUUGAUUUUACAUCUUGUGACCUUCCAAACAUACGGAGAUGGUGUACCCUUAUCCUUAUGGAGAACUUUGGGGUUUUCUCUGAAAGUGCAGAAACCCUACAAGAGGCUCUUCCAAGUAGAGAACAAGCUAUGCUUUGCAGCAGUGAGG